rnacentral:rRNA from 1 species
CCUGGGCUCAACCCRGGAAGUGCACUGGAUACUGGCAGACUUGAAUACGGGAGAGGGUAGUGGAAUUCCUGGUGUAGGAGUGAAAUCCGUAGAUAUCANGAGGAACRCCGGUGGCGAAGGCGGCUGCCUNGACCGAUAUUGACGCUGAGACGCGAAAGCGUGGGUAGCAAACAGGAUUAGAUACCCUGGUAGUCCACGCCGUAAACGAUGAGUACUAGGUGUUGCGGGUAUUGACCCCUGCAGUGCCRCAGCUAACGCAUUAAGUACUCCGCCKGGRAAGUACGGUCGCAA